rnacentral:lncRNA from 1 species
UUCACGGAACGGCCAUGGCGGAAGCGCCGAUCCUCUUACCUGUGGUCGUCGACAGAGAGAGAGGGAGAUGGGGAAGAAGUGGUGGCGGAGGAGGAGGAACCCUAGCUUUGGCACGGACGCCAAGGGGGAUUAAAUAGGGGAAAGGAGGAGGAGAGGGAUGCGGCAUGGCCAUGUGCACGAGGGGAGCUCCAGUGGUAAGCAGAGGGGAACAAAGAUGAGUCGCUGACAGGGGGCCCCAGGUGCCCCGCUAGAAAGGGGAAGAAGAGGAACGCGCCGCGGGCUCCUGACACGAGAGAGAGGAGGAAGUGGGCCGACCUAUGGGAGGAAGCCCAUAGGGUGGCGCACAAUAGAAGGAAAGAAAACCCUGGGGUUUUCCAUUUACAGAAAAGACAGAGAAGAAAAGAAUGCACAGAGAAAACUAUAAGUGCUAAAAAUAAAAUUAGCACAUCCGUGGACA